AAGGGAGAAGAACCGGUUACUGGGCAAGCACAACACACAGGGCCGAGACAAGGGGUAACAGUGUAGGGGCGACAGCGACAUGACCCCGAAAGGCAACCUCACAACACCGAGGAGGUCCAGUCGUAGCCACCGCGAGAAGUCGCAGUCGCGCGACGGAUUCCUCGCGCCGACGCCUCGGUCUCCUCACGGCUCUCCAACGCGCCCGUAACUGCCGCUCUCUGCGCGCGCUUUCCUGAUCCUCAACCCGGUCGCGGGGCCAAGUGACCUCCCUUGCCUUGCGACGGGUGGCCGGCGAGAAAACGAACUCCUGCCAGCCUUUCUCUCUGCUCCCUCCUCCUUACCGUCUUGGCGGCCUCCGCCCAGGUCCUGCCCUUCUUCCUACGGCCCUUUUCCCUCAUGUCGGUUCUGACUGACUGGGAGGCUUCCGUGCCCCGGCUCCGGCUGCGUUCCCUCGCCUGCUGCGCCCUGCACUGCUUUUCCCGCGGUGCCAGGAAAGGUGGGAGAAAGGGGAAGUCGGACCCGAGAAGCAACUCAGCGAGCAAGCGGCCGCGGAGGCGCGCAGUGGCGGGGGUAGGGGGCUCUACGGGGUGGCCGGUCCUGCUGCCGCUGCCACUGCUACCGCCGCUGCCAUAUUGGGUUCUUACUGUACAAGCAGCUUCUGUGGUCACGUGACCCCUGCCGCGCGGCCGUCACUACUGUACGCUGCAGGCCGCGCGAACGAGCGCGCACUUGCGCGCGCCCCCAGCCUCGGCGUCGGACCGGCAGGCUGCAGCAGUUAGCCACGCCCCUGCACUUCCGGUGUCUCCGCAUCGAGCCCUUGCGCACGACGGAGGGCGGCCCAUGGUCUGUGGGUCGGAUGUCUGGCGGUCACACCCGCCGGGAAGAUCUUCUGGCGGAAACAGAAUCUGCUCCUUUCGGGAAAGGCUGAUUGCGCGGUUACGUGCAGCGUGUGUUGAGGAGUGGCUCUGGAAACUUAAAGAGCCCGACGAUCAAGUGAUCUUGCCAACUACCGUUUUAAUCAGCAUGUUUUAUUUUGUUGUGGUACAGGCUCAGGUAAGGCGGACCUUAAACUCCGAACUUCUGUCUCCCAUUACUGGUAAUUACAGGCAUGCAUCGUCUUGUCCUCAAGUUCAUUUUUUACAAAGCUUAUCUUUUUGAAGACGUACCGCGUGCAGUUCUUGUCUAUUAUUAAUCUGAUUAAUAGAUGAGACAGGUUAGAUUGAUUUACCAACUCUCUAGUAUAGGAUGUGAAUAUACCAAAAACUAAGUUGUUAGCUACCAAGCCUUGUCUCGCAAAGUAAAUAGACCUUUUUUAGGCCAACAGAAACCACGUUUAUGGCUCAGAGGAUAAGUGCACUGACUAUUCCGGAGGUUCUGAGUUUAAUUCUCAGCAACCACAUGGUGGCUCACAACCAUGGGAUCCGAUGCCCUCUUCCGGUGUGUCAGCUACAGUGAAGACAGCUACAGUGUACUCAUACAUAAAAUAAAUAUUUUUUAAAAAGGAGUUUA
rnacentral:lncRNA from 1 species